GGAACCCUGAACAACUGCAGCCUAAGACCUUCCGACUUGAAAGCUGUCAGAUAAAAGGAAGGGGAGGAAGUAUUUUUGCAGAACAGGCAGAAGAUACAGUAGGAAGUUACCGUGGAGAA